rnacentral:rRNA from 1 species
CUAAUACCGCAUACGAUCUACGGAUGAAAGCAGGGGAUCGCAAGACCUUGCGCGAAUGGAGCGGCCGAUGGCAGAUUAGGUAGUUGGUGAGGUAAAGGCUCACCAAGCCGUCGAUCUGUAGCUGGUCUGAGAGGACGACCAGCCACACUGGGACUGAGACACGGCCCAGACUCCUACGGGAGGCAGCAGUGGGGAAUUUUGGACAAUGGGCGAAAGCCUGAUCCAGCCAUGCCGCGUGCAGGAUGAAGGCCUUCGGGUUGUAAACUGCUUUUGUACGGAACGAAACGGCCUUUUCUAAUAAAGAGGGCUAAUGACGGUACCGUAAGAAUAAGCACCGGCUAACUACGUGCCAGCAGCCGCGGUAAUACGUAGGGUGCAAGCGUUAAUCGGAAUUACUGGGCGUAAAGCGUGCGCAGGCGGUUAUGUAAGACAGUUGUGAAAUCCCCGGGCUCAACCUGGGAACUGCAUCUGUGACUGCAUAGCUAGAGUACGGUAGAGGGGGAUGGAAUUCCGCGUGUAGCAGUGAAAUGCGUAGAUAUGCGGAGGAACACCGAUGGCGAAGGCAAUCCCCUGGACCUGUACUGACGCUCAUGCACGAAAGCGUGGGGAGCAAACAGG